rnacentral:rRNA from 1 species
AUUGAACGCUGGCGGCAUGCCUUACACAUGCAAGUCGAACGGUAACGCGGAGCAACCUGGCGACGAGUGGCGAACGGGUGAGUAAUAUAUCGGACCGUGCCCAGUAGUGGGGGAUAGCCCGGCGAAAGCCGGAUUAAUACCGCAUACGACCUACGGGUGAAAGCGGGGGAUCGCAAGACCUCGCGCUAUUGGAGCGGCCGAUAUCAGAUUAGGUAGUUGGUGGGGUAAAGGCCUACCAAGCCGACGAUCUGUCGCUGGUCUGAGAGGACGACCGGCCACACUGGGACUGAGACACGGCCCAGACUCCUACGGGAGGCAGCAGUGGGGAAUUUUGGACAAUGGGCGCAAGCCUGAUCCAGCCAUGCCGCGUGCGGGAAGAAGGCCUUCGGGUUGUAAACCGCUUUUGUCAGGGAAGAAAUCCUCUGAGUUAAUACCUCGGGGGGAUGACGGUACCUGAAGAAUAAGCACCGGCUAACUACGUGCCAGCCGCCGCCGUAA